rnacentral:misc_RNA from 1 species
AAUGUCGUAACAAGGUUUCCGUAGGUGAACCUGCGGAAGGAUCACUAUCGUAGGGCUCCGGCCCUGUCGAGAUAGAACCCUUGCCUUUUUGGAGUACCUUUCGUUUCCUCGGCAGGCUCGCCUGCCAAUGGGGACCCCUAAAAAUCACUUUGCAGUACCUGUAACAGUCUGAACAAAUCAAAGCAAAAGUUAAAAU